AUUGAACGCUGGCGGCAGGCCUAACACAUGCAAGUCGAACGGUAACAGGAAGAAGCUUGCUUCUUUGCUGACGAGUGGCGGACGUGUGAGUAAUGUCUGGGAAACUGCCUGAUGGAGGGGGAUAACUACUGGAAACGGUAGCUAAUACCGCAUAACGUCGCAAGACCAAAAAGGGGGACCUUCGGGCCUCUUGCCCUCGGAUGUGCCCAGAUGGGAUUAGCUAGUAGGUGGGGUAACGGCUCACCUAGGCGACGAUCCCUAGCUGGUCUGAGAGGAUGACCAGCCACACUGGAACUGAGACACGGUCCAGACUCCUACGGGAGGCAGCAGUGGGGAAUAUUGCACAAUGGGCGCAAGCCUGAUGCAGCCAUGCCGCGUGUAUGAAGAAGGCCUUCGGGUUGUAAAGUACUUUCAGCGGGGAGGAAGGGAGUAAAGUUAAUACCUUUGCUCAUUGACGUUACCCGCAGAAGAAGCACCGGCUAACUCCGUG
rnacentral:rRNA from 1 species